rnacentral:rRNA from 1 species
UUAAAUUAUAGAUGCAAUCUGGUCAAUGGAAAUUUUUUAAAUUCAAACCUUAGCGUGAGGGUAAUAAUGUAGCGUAAUAAUUUGAUACUUAAUUGGUGUGUGGUAUGAAUGCUUAAACGAUUAUAAAUUUGUCUCAAAAAUAGAAUAAAAAUUAAUAUAAAAGUUAAGAUUCUUUUUUAAAAUUAUAAGACAAGAAGACCCCAUAAACCUUUACUAAAAAUUUUAAUAAAUUAAAAUUUAUAGUUUAACUGGGGCAGUUACCUUUUAUAAUAAAAAAGGUAUUUUUUGUUUACAAUAUAAUGUUAACAAAUUAUUAUUAUUUAAAUGACCUUUUUAAUUAAACUAAAUUAAUAAAUUAAUAAAUAAAAGGUACUUUGGGGAUAACAGCGUUAUUUAAAAAAAGAGUUGAUAUCAAAUUUUAAGUUUGCGACCUCGAUGUUGAAUUUAGAUAUCCCAUAACUGC